ensembl:processed_transcript
GUAGGAAUUAAAUGCAUAAUUAGAAACAAAUCUUGGCUUGGCAUUAUAAACACUUUGCAGAAUAAAAAUGCUAAAUCAUUCUCUCCCAGUAGCUGGCGCACACAGAUCAGUAAUGAUGACCAGUGAAGUGUCUAAACUUUUGAUUAAUAAAGGGGAGUAAAAGUAGACUGAAUUAAGCCCAUAAAUAAAAAAAAAUAAGUUUAGAUGAUUAAUAACUGCAAAUAAGCAGAGGCCUUUAUAAGCCCAUACUCUAAAUAAAAAAGUAAAUAACACAAACGUUCACAUUUAUUUCCUUAAAUAGUAACUAAGUAACACGUUGAGCUACCUUUUUAAGUGACUUUAGAUUGUAACGGAUUACUUUUCCCCCAACAGGAAGGAGUUCCUCAGACAGGAAGUGGAGACCAGUACUUUAGGAAGCCCUGCUGCUGCUGUUGCUGAGUGUCUAGAGCACCUGCAGUCCAGAUACUGGAUCUCUGCUCACCUGCACUCGACUCAACUCUGAUGCAGCACCAGGUUAAGAAAAAUGAAUAACUCUGCCCCGAA